rnacentral:rRNA from 1 species
GACGAACGCUGGCGGCGUGCUUAACACAUGCCAGUCGAACGGAAAGGCCCUGCUUUUGUGGGGUGCUCGAGUGGCGAACGGGUGAGUAACACGUGAGUAACCUGCCCUUGACUUUGGGAUAACUUCAGGAAACUGGGGCUAAUACCGGAUAGGAGCUCCUGCUGCAUGGUGGGGGUUGGAAAGUUUCGGCGGUUGGGGAUGGACUCGCGGCUUAUCAGCUUGCUGGUGGGGUAGUGGCUUACCAAGGCUUUGACGGGUAGCCGGCCUGAGAGGGUGACCGGCCACAUUGGGACUGAGAUACGGCCCAGACUCCUACGGGAGGCAGCAGUGGGGAAUAUUGCACAAUGGGCGGAAGCCUGAUGCAGCAACGCCGCGUGCGGGAUGACGGCCUUCGGGUUGUAAACCGCUUUCGCCUGUGACGAAGCGUGAGUGACGGUAAUGGGUAAAGAAGCACCGGCUAACUACGUG